rnacentral:piRNA from 1 species
UUUUAGAACUGAUGUGUUGCCAAGAAGAA